rnacentral:rRNA from 1 species
AGUGAACGCUGGCGGUAGGCCUAACACAUGCAAGUCGAACGGCAGCACAGUAAGAGCUUGCUCUUACGGGUGGCGAGUGGCGGACGGGUGAGGAAUACAUCGGAAUCUACUUUUUCGUGGGGGAUAACGUAGGGAAACUUACGCUAAUACCGCAUACGACCUACGGGUGAAAGCAGGGGAUCUUCGGACCUUGCGCGAUUGAAUGAGCCGAUGUCGGAUUAGCUAGUUGGCGGGGUAAAGGCCCACCAAGGCGACGAUCCGUAGCUGGUCUGAGAGGAUGAUCAGCCACACUGGAAGUGGGACACGGGCCAGACUCCUAGGGGGGGCAGAAGGGGGGAAUAUUGGACAAGGGGGGCAAGCCUGAUCCAACCAACCCGGGGGGGGGAAGAAGGCCUUCGGGUUGUAAAGCCCUUUUGUUGGGAAAAAAAAGCAGCAGGUUAAUACCCCGCUGUUCGGGCGGUACCAAAAAAAUAAGCACCGGCUAACUUCUG